ensembl:misc_RNA
UUGAAGGCGUGGAGACUGAAGUCCUCUCUAUAUCCACAGAACAGGUACGGCACAGGCAGCGGCAGUGCAGCUUUUCCACUGUCCCACCAAUGUGCCUCAGUCCUAGCCUAGGGGGGAUCAUGUUUAGGGUAAGAGGGCUAUCAGUCUCCAUGCCCUUCAAUCCUUGGCUACU